rnacentral:rRNA from 1 species
AGAGUUUGAUCAUGGCUCAGGAUGAACGCUGGCGGCGUGCCUAAUACAUGCAAGUCGAACGAGGCUCUUUUUGUAGCAAUACGAGGAGUGUCCUAGUGGCGAACGGGUGAGUAACGCGUGGGCGACCUGCCCCAAAGUGUGGAAUAACAGUCCGAAAGGAUUGCUAAUACCGCAUGUGGUCACCGGGUUUAGAAACCGAUGACUAAAGGAGUAAUCCGCUUUGGGAGGGGCCUGCGUCCCAUCAGCUAGUUGGCGAGGUAAUGGCUCACCAAGGCUACGACGGGUAGGGGACCUGAGAGGGUGGCCCCCCACACUGGAACUGAGACACGGUCCAGACUCCUACGGGAGGCAGCAGUGGGGAAUAUUGGGCAAUGGGCGCAAGCCUGACCCAGCAACGCCGCGUGAGGGAAGAAGGCUUUCGGGUUGUAAACUUCUUUUAGACGGGACAAAACCCCUUUACGUGUAAAGGGUUGAUGGUACUGUCAGAAUAAGCAUCGGCUAACUUCGUGCCAGCAGCCGCGGUAAUACGUAGGUGUCAAGCGUUGUCCGGAUUUAUUGGGCGUAAAGAGCCCGCAGGCGGCCUGGCAAGUUUGAGGUGAAAUCUCCCGGCUCAACUGGGAGGGCGCCUCGAAAACUGCCAGGCUUGAGGCAGGGAGAGGGAUGUGGAAUUCCAGGUGUAGUGGUGAAAUGCGUAGAUAUCUGGAGGAACACCAGUGGCGAAGGCGAUCUUCUGGUCUGUUUCUGACACUCAGACGCGACAGCUAGGGUAGUAAACGGGAUUAGAGACCCCGGUAAUCCUAGCCAUAAACGAUGUGAACUUGGCGUUGGUGGGUUAAACUCCAUCAGUGCCGAAGCAAACGCGAUAAGUUCACCGCCUGGGGACUACGGCCGCAAGGUUAAAACUCAAAUGAAUUGACGGGGGCCCGCACAAGCAGCGGAGCGUGUGGUUUAAUUCGAUGCUACACGAAGAACCUUACCCAGGCUUGACAUACAGGUGGUAGAGAUCCGAAAGGUGAUCGACCCGCAAGGGAGCCUGAACAGGUGUUGCAUGGCUGUCGUCAGCUCGUGUCGUGAGAUGUUCGGUUAAGUCCGCUAACGAGCGCAACCCUUGCCGCGUGUUACAUGUGUCACGCGGGACCGCCGGUAUUAAGCCGGAGGAAGGCGGGGAUGACGUCAAGUCAGCAUGGCCUUUAUGCCUGGGGCUACACACACGCUACAAUGGGCAGUACAAUGGGUUGCCAAGCCGCGAGGCGGAGCUAAUCCCCCAAAACUGUCCUCAGUUCAGAUUGCAGGCUGAAACUCGCCUGCAUGAAGCCGGAGUUGCUAGUAAACGCGCGUCAGCUAUAGUGCGUUGAAUACGUUCUCGGGCCUUGUACACACCGCCCGUCACGUCAUGGGAGCUGGCAACACCUGAAGCCGGUAGUCUAACCGCAAGGAGGACGCCGUCGAAGGUGGGGCUGGUGACUGGGACGAAGUCGUAACAAGGUAGCCG